GCUAGGUGAUUGCUUGCUGGCUAUCCAAGAAUGCAACAGCGUGGAGAGCAAGCUAGUCUGGGGGCUACUGAUGGCGUGGCUGUGCGUUUUCUCCAUUGCCGAUUUUGGGGGAGUGAGCGACAGGAUCAUGCUUAACACCAAGGCGUUCCAGAAGGUGACUGAUCACAUUGGCAGCUUUGGUGAGCUAGGAGGUGUGACAAUCAGCUCACCAGAUGCUUCAAUCUCACGAGCCACAUGACUCUUCUUGGAACAGGAUGCCACAAUCCUUGCCUCCAAGGAUCCUUAAAAUUGGCCCAUGCUCAAUCCCUUGCCAUUGUAUGGGCGAGGAAAGCUAAUCAAUUUCAUCUGCGGAUGCCCAGAAGUAGCGCUGGAUGAGGGUGUAAUUUCUGAGUCGCAAUGAGAGGUGAGGCAACCCAUAUAUAUGGAUUUCGGUAUAUCAUCGGACCAGCCAACACUAGAAAGUCCACCAUGCCAUUCUGAGAUACCUUUCUCAAGAAGGCUGCCACAUGAUUUUCCUUGAUGCUCGAUGGCUCUGCGAGAAACUCUAUUAUGGAGCCUUGUGCAAGAAUUCCCCGCCAUGGCUAGCCUUCAACAAUUUCUGAAUGUGUGGCCUUUUUGAUGAGUUCGAAAGUAAGAGCUACAAUUGUAGUGGACGGUGGCAAUGUAAUUUCAACAAAGAGUGGUGGUGCUGCUUUGCUAGCUGGCCUUGUGAAUGUCUGCAAUGUAGUUUAUUGUGCUUCGCUCUUCAGUGAAUGGAACAAAGUGAUCCGCAAUCCCAAAA